rnacentral:rRNA from 1 species
UUUGACCAUACCCUCUGUAAACACUGGAUUUCGUUUGAUCUCCAAAACUAAGCAAGGUUAGGGCUGGUUAAUACUUGUAUAGGAGGCCACUCAGAAUAACAGGUGCUGUCAACU